rnacentral:tRNA from 1 species
GGUCCGCGUAGCUCAGUUGGAAGAGCAUUGGGCUAGCAUUCCAAAGGCCGUAGGUUUGAAUCCCACCGUGACCA